rnacentral:rRNA from 1 species
ACUCAAAGGAAUUGACGGGGACCCGCACAAGCGGUGGAGCGUGUUGUUUAAUUCGAUGGUAAGCGAAGAACCUUACCAAGGUUUGACAUCCUAGGAAUUUUGGUGAAAGCCGAGAGUGCCUUCGGGAACCUAGUGACAGGUGUUGCAUGGCCGUCGUCAGCUCGUGUCGUGAGAUGUUUGGUUAAGUCCAUCAACGAGCGCAACCCCUAUGGUUAGUUGUAUUUUUCUAACCAGACUGCCCCGGUAACGGGGAGGAAGGGGGGGAUGAUGUCAGGUCAGUAUUACCCUUACACCUUGGGCAACAAACGCGCUACAAUGGCCGGUACAACGGGCUGCCAAGUCGCGAGACGGAGCAAAUCCCAUCAAAGCCGGUCCCAGUUCGGAUUGCAGGCUGAAACUCGCCUGCAUGAAGCCGGAAUCGCUAGUAAUCGCAGAUCAGAAUGCUGCGGUGAAUACGUUCCCGGGUCUUGUACACACCGCCCGU